AAUAACUUAAAGUAGAGUAACAAAGUAAAAGAAGCGCAGCACUGCAUACUUGCUUAUUUUAUAUUUCGAGGAUCCCAUGUUUGAGGAAGGAUGAAGGAGAAGUGUAUAAUCUCUCUCUGGAUCUUGAGGAAUCAGCUGGAGAGGAUCAAAGAUAGACCAAGCCAGAGUGAUGAUGCUCAAUGAAGGCGAUAACUAAGUUAAACAACAUAAAAUUCCCUCUUCAUGACUGAUAUGGAUACAGCCAUCGAUGAUGCUGAGUGCCCUACCUACCAACAACAGAUGUCAACACCGAGCCGUCAGCCUGGCACCAUUCCUUGGAGUGAUCUGGAGAGUACCGCCACCAGCCCACACGUGCUGGAUACGUCGGAACGAAGCAUCUCAUCCGCUGGAGAAGGCAGCCUUGUGCAGGGGUCAUGGC
rnacentral:lncRNA from 1 species